UGACACUUCACUGUGUGACCCUGGGCCAGUCAAUCAACCUAGGAUCAAAAGUGAACCUGCUAGUGAGAGAGGUACUAGAAGUCCUCCUGUGUCUCCUUCCUAAGAAAUGGUGUAGUUGACAUGUUUACUUGUUCAACAUUAUCCAUCCCACCUCUGACACCAGGGCUUUGCCAGGCCUUCUCUCUCGUCAGUGAUCCAACACGCUACUACUAGUUUUGCCAGUUUCUUCUCUGCUCCAACUCCCAGAGGUGUGACCCUUUGCCAAUUCCCAACAACUUCACCCAGCUGCCACUUCCUGAAACCAUCCCUGGCACCUGAGCAGUUAUGCUUCAUACCAAGUCAGAACCUCUGUCUAAAACUUUGGGAGCUUCUAAAGGUACUAGAAAGUGAGAACCUUUUAAUGGCUUCUAAGAAUCAAUGAAUAUGGAGAAUAAAGAGAAAUAUGGAAAAAUUUAUAUGAAUUGAUGCAAAUCAAAGUGAGCAGAACCAG